UCAAGUGAAUAAGUGCAUCAGGUGGAUGCCUUGGCGAUGAUAGGCGACGAAGGACGUGUAAGCCUGCGAAAAGCGUGGGGGAGCUGGCAAUAAAGCUAUGAUCCCGCGAUGUCCGAAUGGGGAAACCCACUGCAUUCUGUGCAGUAUCCUAAGUUGAAUACAUAGACUUAGAGAAGCAAACCCGGAGAACUGAACCAUCUAAGUACCCGGAGGAAAAGAAAUCAACCGAGAUUCCGCAAGUAGUGGCGAGCGAACGCGGAGGAGCCUGUACGUAAUAGCUGUUGAGAUAGAAGAACAAGCUGGGAAGCUUGACCAUAGUGGGUGAUAGUCCCGUAUUCGAAAUCUCAAUAGUGGUACUAAGCGUACGAAAAGUAGGGCGGGACACGUGAAAUCCUGUCUGAAUAUGGGGGGACCAUCCUCCAAGGCUAAAUACUCAUCAUCGACCGAUAGUGAACCAGUACCGUGAGGGAAAGGCGAAAAGAACCCCGGGAGGGGAGUGAAAUAGAACCUGAAACCUGAUGCAUACAAACAGUGGGAGCACCCUUGCGGUGUGACUGCGUACCUUUUGUAUAAUGGGUCAACGACUUACAUUCAGUAGCGAGCUUAACCGGAUAGGGGAGGCGUAGGGAAACCGAGUCUUAAUAGGGCGAAGAGUUGCUGGGUGUAGACCCGAAACCGAGUGAUCUAUCCAUGGCCAGGUUGAAGGUGCCGUAACAGGUACUGGAGGACCGAACCCACGCAUGUUGCAAAAUGCGGGGAUGAGCUGUGGAUAGGGGUGAAAGGCUAAACAAACUCGGAGAUAGCUGGUUCUCCCCGAAAACUAUUUAGGUAGUGCCUCGAGCAAGACACUGAUGGGGGUAAAGCACUGUUAUGGCUAGGGGGUUAUUGCAACUUACCAACCCAUGGCAAACUCAGAAUACCAUCAAGUGGUUCCUCGGGAGACAGACAGCGGGUGCUAACGUCCGUUGUCAAGAGGGAAACAACCCAGACCGCCAGCUAAGGUCCCAAAUGAUAGAUUAAGUGGUAAACGAAGUGGGAAGGCCCAGACAGCCAGGAUGUUGGCUUAGAAGCAGCCAUCAUUUAAAGAAAGCGUAAUAGCUCACUGGUCGAGUCGUCCUGCGCGGAAGAUGUAACGGGGCUCAAAUCUAUAACCGAAGCUGCGGAUGCUAGUUUACUAGCAUGGUAGGGGAGCGUUCUGUAGGCCGAUGAAGGUGCAUUGUAAAGUGUGCUGGAGGUAUCAGAAGUGCGAAUGUUGACAUGAGUAGCGAUAAAGCGGGUGAAAAGCCCGCUCGCCGAAAGCCCAAGGUUUCCUACGCAACGUUCAUCGGCGUAGGGUGAGUCGGCCCCUAAGGCGAGGCAGAAAUGCGUAGUCGAUGGGAAACAGGUUAAUAUUCCUGUACUUGAUUCAAAUGUGAUGUGGGGACGGAGAAGGUUAGGUUAGCAAGCUGUUGGAAUAGCUUGUUUAAGCCGGUAGGUGGAAGACUUAGGCAAAUCCGGGUCUUCUUAACACCGAGAAGUGACGACGAAUGUCUACGGACAUGAAGUAACCGAUACCACGCUUCCAGGAAAAGCCACUAAGCUUCAGUUUGAAUCGAACCGUACCGCAAACCGACACAGGUGGGCAGGAUGAGAAUUCUAAGGCGCUUGAGAGAACUCGGGAGAAGGAACUCGGCAAAUUGAUACCGUAACUUCGGGAGAAGGUAUGCCCUCUAAGGUUAAGGACUUGCUCCGUAAGCCCUGGAGGGUCGCAGAGAAUAGGUGGCUGCGACUGUUUAUUAAAAACACAGCACUCUGCUAACACGAAAGUGGACGUAUAGGGUGUGACGCCUGCCCGGUGCUGGAAGGUUAAUUGAAGAUGUGAGAGCAUCGGAUCGAAGCCCCAGUAAACGGCGGCCGUAACUAUAACGGUCCUAAGGUAGCGAAAUUCCUUGUCGGGUAAGUUCCGACCCGCACGAAUGGCGUAACGAUGGCCACACUGUCUCCUCCCGAGACUCAGCGAAGUUG
rnacentral:rRNA from 1 species